CUUUUCUUUUCUUUUCUUUUUUUUUUUGUUUUUGAUUCUGACCGAGAGCAACAACAAGAACAACAAGGUUUCUAUGACAAGUUUCAUGAGAUCUAUGUUCUCGACAGAGAGGUCUCUAUACUGAGCUGACGAACAUUAAGAUUUGUUAUCUAACAUUCGGUGGUUAGUUAAGUUUGGUCAGCUUUUGCUGCCACAAUUGUUGAAGAAAAAAAUGAGGAAGAAGAUGAGAAGUAAGAGAAAGUAAGGGUUAAGAGAGAGGGAGUCGGAUGGCUAAUGAAAGCAGUGGAGAAAAGGGUACCCGGUACUAUCACUGAAAAGUUGGGAGCAAGUAACCUUCUCCCAUGAGAAACAAAGGGAGAGGACGUCUCGAGACUGGAGUGGUUGGGGUUGGUGGAGUCGUUCCUGAUUUCCUGUGAAGAGUCUGAAGACCAAUGCACUACCAAAUAAAGGAAACAGAAAGCAAGGUCACGUGCGGGAAGUAAAAGAAUAAUGUACUUUUGCAUUUGACCAAAAGUGACUUAGUAAAACGUUUCACCAAUGUCAGCCGAGGUGAAAUAAGCCAAACUUUAGCAGCUGAACAAACUUCCUCCAAUGAAACAAGCAAAUUGCAGCCGAGCAGAAAUAAGCUGAACUUCCACUCUGGAGCUGCCACGUCCAAGAAAAUAAUGUACAUCAAAUGGGUUCUGCUGUACUAUGUUUGCACGUCCAAGAGGAUGAUGGAGAUUUAAAAAAUGCUAUUUUGUGAUGUCUUGGCGUUUAUGAGCUCAACUUCCACAACCUAAACAUUCAAGAUUAAAAUUAAACUUGUCUACUUUUCGUGUUUAGAAUGCCUAUAUAAUUAGAACUUCUUUUCAGCA